rnacentral:rRNA from 1 species
AACGAACGCUGGCGGCAGGCUUAACAAAUGCAAGCCGAACGCCACCUACGGGUGGAGGGGCAGACGGGUGAGUAACGCGUGGGAACAUACCUUAUGGUUCGGACUAUUCCCGGGAAACGGGGAACAAUACCGAAUAAGCCCUUGUGGGGAAAGAUUUAUCGCCAAAAGAUUGGCCCGCGUUAGAUUAGGUAGUUGGUAGGGUAAAGGCCUACCAAGCCUACGAUCUAUAGCUGGUCUGAGAGGAUGAUCAGCCACAUUGGGACUGAGACACGGCCCAAACUCCCACGGGAGGCAGCAGUGGGGAAUAUUGGACGAUGGGGGGAAGACAGAUCCAGCCAUGCCGCGUGAAUGAUGAAGGCCUUAGGGUUGUAGAAUUCUUUCAACGGGGACGAUAAUGACGGUACCCGUAGAAGAAGCCCCGGCUAACUUCGUGCCAGCAGCCGCAGUAA